rnacentral:misc_RNA from 1 species
GUCGCUUGCUCGUGCGACGCGCUCUGGUCCGUCGCGGCCAUAAAAUCCAGCGUUCACCGCCCUCAUCGCUUUGCUCGGCGAUGUCGUGUGUGUGUUGUGCCUGGUGGCCCCGUGGACUUAAGCACAAGCCGCGCCGUUGUCCGUGUUCGUCUCGGGACGUCCGCGACGCCGCCUUGCUCUCGGCGGCGGCCAAAUUUCCAUCUGCGUCACCGCUAAGCGGGACCCGGCUCGCUCUCGCUAACGGGCCCGCUUAUAUCAAGCUCAAGGGUGAUUGCGGAGGGGGAAAAAAAAGCUUACGCGGACGAUCGCUUGACAACAAAUCGGCGCCCGUACGAAUUGAAGUGAAAAAAAUAUUCUUUUUUUUUUUUUCAUUUUCAUAUCUCCGACCUCAGAUCGGACGAGAUUAC